CCUACGGGGGGUAGCAGUGGGGAAUAUUGCACAAUGGGGGAAACCCUGAUGCAGCGACGCCGCGUGAGUGACGAAGUAUCUCGGUAUGUAAAGCUCUAUCAGCAGGGAAGAAAAUGACGGUACCUGACUCAGAAGCCCCGGCUAAAUACGUGCCAGCAGCCGCGGUACUACGGAGGGGGCAAGCGUUAUCCGGAUGUACUGGGUGUAAAGGGAGCGUAGUCGGCGCUGCAAGUCCGGAGGGAAAGCUCAGGGCUUAACCAUGGUACUGCCAUGGAAACUGUGGAGCUUGAGUGCGGGAGGGGCAGGCGGAAUUCCUAGUGUAGCGGUGAAAUGCGUAGAGAUUAGGAGGAACACCGGCGGCGAAGGCGGCCUGCUGGACCGUAACUGACGUUGAGGCUCGAAAGCGUGGGGAGCAAACAGGAUUAGAUACCCUUGUAGUC
rnacentral:rRNA from 1 species